rnacentral:tRNA from 1 species
UCUCCAGAUAACUUAUAAAAGUUUAGGUCUUUUAAACCUAAAAAAGUAGAACCUUUCUACUUCUAGAG